rnacentral:rRNA from 1 species
AGAGUUUGAUUCUGGCUCAGGACGAACGCUGGCGGCGUGCUUAACACAUGCAAGUCGAACGAUGAAGCCUAGCUUGCUAGGUGGAUUAGUGGCGAACGGGUGAGUAAUACGUGAGUAACCUACCUUUAACUCUGGGAUAAGCCUGGGAAACUGGGUCUAAUACCGGAUACGACCAAUCUCCGCAUGGGGUGUUGGUGGAAAGCGUUAUGUAGUGGUUAUAGAUGGGCUCACGGCCUAUCAGCUUGUUGGUGAGGUAACGGCUCACCAAGGCGACGACGGGUAGCCGGCCUGAGAGGGUGACCGGCCACACUGGGACUGAGACACGGCCCAGACUCCUACGGGAGGCAGCAGUGGGGAAUAUUGCACAAUGGGCGCAAGCCUGAUGCAGCGACGCCGCGUGAGGGAUGACGGCCUUCGGGUUGUAAACCUCUGUUAGCAGGGAAGAAGAGAAAUUGACGGUACCUGCAGAGAAAGCGCCGGCUAACUACGUGCCAGCAGCCGCGGUAAUACGUAGGGCGCGAGCGUUGUCCGGAAUUAUUGGGCGUAAAGGGCUUGUAGGCGGUUGGUCGCGUCUGCCGUGAAAUCCUCUGGCUUAACUGGGGGCGUGCGGUGGGUACGGGCUGACUUGAGUGCGGUAGGGGAGACUGGAACUCCUGGUGUAGCGGUGGAAUGCGCAGAUAUCAGGAAGAACACCGAUGGCGAAGGCAGGUUACUGGGCCGUUACUGACGCUGAGGAGCGAAAGCGUGGGGAGCGAACAGGAUUAGAUACCCUGGUAGUCCACGCCGUAAACGUUGGGCACUAGGUGUGAGGCUCCUUUCCGGGGGUUUUGCGCCGUAGCUAACGCAUUAAGUGCCCCGCCUGGGGAGUACGGCCGCAAGGCUAAAACUCAAAGGAAUUGACGGGGGCCC